rnacentral:rRNA from 1 species
AUUGAACGCUGGCGGCAGGCCUAACACAUGCAAGUCGAGCGAGGGGCGGACGUGAGUGAUAUGUCUGGAAAUCUGUCAGAGGGAGGGGGAUAAACAGGGGAAACGGUCGAAAAUCCCGCAUACUCCCAGAUGUCCAGAGAUGGGAGUAGCUAGUUGGUGGGGUAACGGCUCACCAAGGCGACGAUCCCUAGCUGGUCUGAGAGGAUGACCAGCCACACUGGAACUGAGACACGGUCCAGACUCCUACGAGAGGCAGCAGUGGGGAAUAUUGCACAAUGGGCGCAAGCCUGAUACAGCCAUGCCGCGUGUGUGAAGAAGGCCUUCGGGUUGUAAAGCACUUUCAGUGGGGAGGCGUUACCCGCAGAAGAAGCACCGGCUAACUCCGUGCCAGCCGCCGCGGUAAUUC